GGAGGGUGCGAGCGUUGUCCGGAAUCAUUGGGCGUAAAGGGCGCGUAGGUGGCCCAGUCAGCGUGCGGUGAAAGCUCGGGGCUCAACCCCGAGUCGGCCGUGCGAACUGCUGGGCUCGAGCACUGUAGAGGCAGGCGGAAUUCCGGGUGUAGCGGUGGAAUGCAUAGAGAUCCGGAAGAACACCGGUGGCGAAGGCGGCCUGCUGGGCAGUAGCUGACACUGAGGCGCGACAGCGUGGGGAGCAAACAGGAUUAGAUACCCUGGUAGUCCACGCCGUAAACGAUGGGCACUAGGCGCUUGGGGGAGCGACCCCCCGAGGGCCGGCGCUAACGCAUUAAGUGCCCCGCCUGGGGAGUACGGCCGCAAGGCUG
rnacentral:rRNA from 1 species